GGGCGUUUAGCUCAGAUGGGAGAGCGCUUCCCUUACAAGGAAGAGGCCGGCGGUUCGAGUCCGUCAACGCCCA
rnacentral:tRNA from 2 species